rnacentral:rRNA from 1 species
UGUCUUUUUGUUUAUAAUAUAAAGUCUAAUCUGCCCACUGAUUUUAAUUAAAGGGCUGCAGUAUUUUGACUGUACAAAGGUAGCAUAAUCAUUAGUCAUUUAAUUGAUGACUUGUAUGAAAGAUUUGAUGAAAUAUAAACUGUCUUUAAUUUAAACAUAGAAUUUAAUUUUUUUAUAAAAAAGUUAAAAUAAUUUAAAAAGACGAGAAGACCCUAUAGAGUUUUAUAAAUAUUUAGAUUAAGAUUAUAUUGUAAAAUAAUUUUAAAAUUUAAAUAUUUAUUUUAUUGGGGUGAUAAAAAAAUUUAAAAAACUUUUUUUUUUGUUUAACAUUUAUAAGUGAAUAAAUGAUCCAAUAAUAUUGAUUAUAAGAAAAAAUUACCUUAGGGAUAACAGCGUAAUUUUUUUUUUUAGUUCAAAUAAGAAAAAGAGUUUGCGACCUCGAUGUUGGAUUAAGAUAAAGUUUAAAUGUAGAAG